rnacentral:rRNA from 1 species
GAUGAACGCUAGCGGCAGGCCUAAUACAUGCAAGUCGAACGGUAGCGCGGGGCAACCUGGCGACGAGUGGCGAACGGGUGAGUAAAGCAUCGGAACGUGCCCUGGAAUGGGGGAUAACGUAGCGAAAGUUACGCUAAUACCGCAUAUUCUGUGAACAGGAAAGCAGGGGAUCGCAAGACCUUGCGUUCUGGGAGCGGCCGAUGUCGGAUUAGCUAGUUGGUGGGGUAAAAGCCUACCAAGGCGACGAUCCGUAGCGGGUCUGAGAGGAUGAUCCGCCACACUGGGACUGAGACACGGCCCAGACUCCUACGGGAGGCAGCAGUGGGGAAUUUUGGACAAUGGGCGGAAGCCUGAUCCAGCCAUGCCGCGUGAGUGAAGAAGGCCUCGGGUUGUAAAGCUCUUCGUGGGGGAAGAAUAGCUUCGGUUAAUACCUGGAGUAGAUGACGGUACCGCAUAAGAAGCACCGGCUAACUACGUGCCAGCAGCCGCGGUAAU